rnacentral:miRNA from 1 species
UGGCUGAGCGCCCUGUUCCGUCAC